CAUCUUCGGUUAAAGAGCGGACGCGCAGGAGGGGAGGCGACGGCACGCGAGACGCGGAUAAAUAGCCUGAACAGCUAAACCAUCGCGAGCCAUGGAUGCGCAAGGGCGACGCGUCCCCUAGUAGGAGAAUGACUGUGAUUUGAUUCGAGACCCUCUGCGGCCGAGCGAGCGGAUGUGAGUGCGAGGCUGGCGAGCACCGUGUGGGUAAGGGUUGCUGGUGGGGGGAGCUUCUGAUGCAAUCGGCCCCGAAAGGAGGAGGAGAGCCAGGAGUGCGCGGGCUGGGGCGGCACGCCGCUCCGCAUGAAGGUCGCCGCCCUUCACCUUCCUCGGAAAUCGCCACGCCACGCCGAGCCUCCCCGCCCAGCCCUCGCUGACGGAAGGCACCUUUCAUCCGCCAAGGCAGCCAGACCUUGACACAAAGGACAUCGCAAGGCUGGGGGAAAAUCCGGGAAGGGCGGAUACCACUUUUCCCCCCCUUUUUUUUUUGGUCCGAGGUACUUAUCAAGUGUCUACUGUGUGCCAGGCACUGUAUCUAUGUGCAUAGAAAAACCCCUGAAGCUGAUACUCCAAUAUACAUAUACAGUGAUCAUCUCUGCUUGCUGAGAUAACAGGGGUGUCAACCUUAUAUUUUUGCUGCUAUCCUUUUGUAAAUACUCUCAGAAAAAGAGAAUUUGGACCCAUUUUUUGACGACAGGUAGUUUCUAAACAUGAUGCAUUUCAAAAGUGGACUCGAACUAACUGAGUUGCAGAACAUGACAGUGCCCGAAGAUGAUAACAUUAGCAAUGAUUCCAAUGAUUUCACUGAAGUAGAAAAUGGUCAGAUAAAUAGCAAGUUUAUUUCUGAUCGUGAAAGUAGAAGAAGUCUCACCAACAGCCACUUGGAAAAAAAGAAAUGUGAUGACUAUAUUCCAGGAACAACCUCCUUGGGGAUGUCUGUUUUUAACCUAAGCAACGCCAUUAUGGGCAGUGGGAUUUUAGGACUCGCCUUCGCCCUGGCAAACACUGGAAUCCUACUUUUUCUGGUACUUUUGACUUCAGUAACACUGCUGUCUAUAUAUUCAAUCAACCUGCUGUUGAUCUGUUCAAAGGAAACAGGCUGCAUGGUUUAUGAAAAGCUGGGAGAACAGGUCUUUGGUACCACAGGGAAGCUCGUCAUCUUUGGAGCCACCUCCCUACAGAACACUGGAGCAAUGCUGAGCUACCUCUUCAUAGUAAAAAAUGAGCUACCUUCUGCCAUAAAAUUUCUAAUGGGAAAAGAAGAGGAAUUUUCAGCCUGGUACGUGGAUGGCCGCCUGCUGGUGGUGCUAGUUACCUUUGGCAUAAUUCUCCCUCUGUGUCUCUUGAAGAACUUAGGUUAUCUUGGCUAUACUAGUGGAUUUUCCUUGAGCUGUAUGGUAUUUUUCCUAAUUGUGGUUAUCUACAAGAAAUUUCAAAUUGGCUCUUCUGUUCCAGAGCUAAAUUCAACAAUUUCUAAUUCAACAAAUCCGGAUAUGUGUACACCAAAAUAUGUUACCUUCAAUUCAAAGACCGUGUACGCUUUACCAACAAUUGCGUUUGCUUUUGUCUGCCACCCGUCGGUCCUGCCAAUUUACAGUGAACUGAAAGAUCGAUCACAGAAAAAGAUGCAGAUGGUUUCAAAUAUCUCCUUUUUCGCCAUGUUUGUUAUGUAUUUUUUGACUGCCAUUUUUGGCUACUUGACAUUCUGUGAAAGCGUGCAGUCCGACCUCCUCCACAAGUACCAGAGUAAGGACGACAUCCUUAUCCUGACGGUACGGCUGGCAGUCAUCAUGGCCGUCAUCCUCACCGUGCCCGUGUUAUUUUUCACGGUUCGAUCUUCUAUAUUUGAACUGGCUAAGAAAACAAAGUUUAAUUUAUGUCGUCAUGUCUUGGUGACCUUCAUACUCCUGGUUAUUAUCAACUUGUUGGUGAUCUUCAUACCCUCCAUGAAGGAUAUUUUUGGAGUCGUUGGCGUUACAUCUGCUAAUAUGCUUAUUUUCAUUCUUCCUUCAUCUCUUUAUUUAAAAAUCACAAGCCAAGAUGGAGACAAGGGAACUCAACGAAUUUGGGCUGCCCUUUUCUUGGGUCUGGGAGUGUUGUUUUCCCUGGUAAGCAUUCCCUUGGUCAUCUACGACUGGGCCUACUCAUCAAGUGGUGACGAAGGCCACUGAGACCAGCUGAGAAAAAGAGUCAAGUUACCACGCAUCAGCAACCCUUCAUCACUUCCUCUGCAAGUUUACAGAAGCAAACAGAAAUUUACAAGAUACACAAUGAAAUAAUACUUUGGUAGCAAAACAAGAGACCUGUUUCUAUCAUGGUUCAUUCCCCUCCAGGAUUCGGGGUCAAUUUUAAGAUUGUGGAUUUUUUUGGUUCCAAAUUUCAUGCAAUCAUAUUUUCCAGUACUUUCCACAGCUGAUUGUUUUUCACUCUACUAACUCUAUUUUUUUGUGAUUUCAUCGUCUUAGAACUCUGAAGACGUGAUCAUCCAUCGUGUUUAUUUAUUGUACAUCCAGAUUCUGAAAUAAUUUUCCUACUGAUGUUCAGCUUAUAUCUGUACCUUUUUAGCAGAGAAAAGAAUCUUGAAUUGUAUAUAUUUAUUUUGCUUUACAGAAAAAAAUGGUUUCGUAAAUAAUUUGCCUAUUUUGGUUAAAAUAGCACAUAGGGAUAAUCAGAUGAGAGUCACAGGGCACAUACCCUUGUUGGAUCAGAGAAUGCCCAAUAUUUGAGGCAGCUCUGAUCACCUGGCAGGUGAGCUUCAGCAGCUCAUGGCCUCGCUGGCAUUCCAUCCACUCUGUGCAGAGACCUUCUCUGGUGAGUGUUCUCAGCUCAGAAAGGGGUGGAAUGAUUCUUACCUUGGUAAAUAUACUGAACUACACAUCUGGGUUAUCUAGCAAAUGAAGUUUUGUUUCCCUCUUUGUGUCAAAGUUACUCUAUAUAAUCGGAGUCAGCCUUUGUUGGGGAAGACCCACGACACCUUUAUAACAAAUUGAGAAACAAGAGUCCUACAAAAAGAUUGUCCAAAAUGCAUGAGGAAAUAUUUUUCAGAUGCAGAUAACCUUCAGCCCAACAUCUGUAUUGUUGAAGGGGGAAAAACAUUUUCUUAAAUUAUAAACCCAGCAGCUUCUACUCAUGUCCAUCAGCUUUUUGCACAGAAAAUCAUGUGUAUCUAACCAAGGAUGAUCUAGGGAAAGUAAGUCCUGUUUUAUAUUAGGUACUUUAGGGGGGUCUUUAAAAAAUUUGUUUUAUAUCUAUGAAAGUGAAAGUGUUAGUUGCAAAGAGGUGAACACAACUGAGCGACUAACACUUUGUAUCUAUAAAUUUAGGUUAUUGCAAAUACAAGAUUUUUGUACCUUAAAUAAGCCUCAUUCCUAUUUCUUCUCUACUAGCCAUCCAUCCAGUCUUGAAAAAGAGCCUUCAGAGAUGAUUUUGAGGACAGCGUGUGAUGAAAGCACUGUGUACCUUUCUCCCCCAAGAUGGGGACUUUGGUGGCAGUGCUAUCCCUCUCCUCAUCCCUGGUCAAGGGUGGGCUGUCACUGCCCACCUGAUGUGACCCACAUAGGGGACAGAGUUGCUGACACUCUUACCCCAGCCCCUCUCCUAAAAGCCAGUGAAGGAAAUUCCUGAGAGACUGUAAAAGCAGAGAAGUAUGGGGCACGGUAGCUUGAAAAGGCACUGGGGACAGGAUAGAAACCCAGUACCACAUUCCCCCUAUGCUGGGCCAUCACCCGUGCUUGGAUUGUCUGUAUCACACAAUGAGAAGCAUGUGUACCCUGUGAGCUAGUCUCUUGAAACAGGACUUGUGUUAUAUCUACAUCCUGGUUGAAUUCAACAAACACAUCAGUUCACUGAACAGAUUUCUUAUCCAGAGAUAAGUAGCCUCUAACCACAGGCUCUUGGCAGAGUUUUGAGGCACUUAACUCUGGGCUCUGUUCCUCCCGCACUGAGAUCCCUGGAGGCCUCCAUACUUACCAGGAGUAACACGGAACUGUCCCCUCCCCUUUACAGACUAAUAUCCCAUACAGAAAGCAAGCAUCAGGGUCAUUCCUGACCCUCCUGGGGGAAAAGGAAAGAUUAUUUUCUGCCUGUCUUAGUAGUAUCAUCAUAGCUUCUAAUGUCAUGCUCCAGAAUUACAUCCACAGAGAUUAGAGUUCAGGUAUUUAGAAAUGAGUACCUACCUAUGUAUGAAUUCCUAACCCAGUGAAACCCACACCGUUUCUGUCCUUCUCAGCAGUCUUCCAUAGAUAAGCAGAAGAGAAACUCAACCAAACAAGAUGCCUGGCCCUUGGACCUUGUCAGGGGGCACCCAAUCAUGUAAUAGCUAGAUAGUGGAUGACCCUCCAUUAAAAAAAUAAAAAUUUCAUUUGCAAGCUAUAUUAGGCUACUUCCCAUUUUCUUAAUUAACUUAUAAAAAUUCACUUUCUGCCCAUACAGUUUAGAAGAUUAUCAUUAGCUCUUGGGAUGUAUAGUGAUAUUUUUGGAUCUUUGAAUUUUAUGUGUCAGAACAGGGGAUUCUUUAAAUUAUUUAAAAUAUGCUUAUUUAGAGGAGGCUUGGGAUGUGUAGUGAUAUUUUUGGAUCUCUGGAUUUUAUGUGUCAGAAUGGGAUUUUUUUUUAUUAUUUAAAAUAUGCUUAUUUAGAGGAGGCACUUGUUGAUGUCUGCACUACUACAGGGUUUUAAAACCUUCUUUGUACGUUUAUUUAAGUUUAUUGUUGACUGAAUAUAAUAGACCCUACUGUAAUUUGUCAGAUAUCAGUGAUUAAUUUCAUCAUUUGCAGUCCAUGGGGUCGCUAAGAGUCGGAUAUGACUGAGUGACUUCACUUUCACUUUUCACUUUCCUGCAUUGGAGAAGGAAAUGGCAACCCACUCCAGUGUUCUUGCCUGGAGAAUCCCAGAGACGGGGGAGCCUGGUGGGCUGCCGUCUCUGGGGUCGCACAGAGUCGGACACGACUGAAGCGACUUAGCAGCAGCAGCUGUAAAGUGUACUGUUCUUAUUCUUCUUGUUCAGAGUAGUGAACCCGUAGCCAAAAAUACAUGUACCACAGAUGUUAGGUAGAAUUUAAAUCACACAGUCAAGUGCUGUACAAGUUUUUCUGCUAUGUGAGUAGACUAACGAAUUUUAUACCUUAAGCCUUUGGGAGAAGCACGCUUUCCUUGGGUAGAUGGGAUCUCAGCACCAGUGAACAGUGCUAGGUUCGUGCUUUGGGGUAUGAACUGUUCUCUAGUUGUAAUAACAUAGCACACUGCAAAUCCCUAAUUUCCUUCAUGUUACUUAUUGAAAGUGAGGACAGCAGCAUAUGUACAGGAAAGAAAUUCAGCCUUGUUAAUCAUAGGCAGUCCGCAAUUUAUAAGCUAGUGCAGAACCCCAACUUACAGGCAGAGCAUAGUACAGAAAUGUCGGUUGUUUGCAACCUGGAAUGUAUUUUCCUUCAGAAACCAAGUUAUACAUGAUGGUUAGGCCCCCCGACCAACUAGAAAAGAUGAUCUAAACUCAUAGUUUAGCUGAAAUAGGGUACUAUAUUAACAAGAUUGCUAAGGAAUCUAAGCAAUGAAUACGAUUUUGUUUCCAGCAGAUGUUUGCUCAGAGUUGCUGAGAAUCCGUCCCUCAUGUUGUUAGUGGAAUCUGGAUCAACCACUCCAACCUCACACUGCCUGCUGAGUGGUGGCACCAGAGUAGCCACCAAUUAGAAGUGCCCAGAGUGGCCUACAGCUGGGUCCCUAGCAAAGGAAGGGGACCAGGUCCAGGGCAACCAGAGACCUCAUAGGAGGAAGAGGGUUAAGAAGGAUGAGGGGUCCUCUGGUGGGCCAUACAUCACCAGGGACAUUCUCCGCUGCUACCCCUUCUUUUCUCUGGAGGCUCAGGCCUGGCCUGCCUGCUUCUGUUUGUAGGACCUUUUGCUCCUGGAGUUUAUCUCCUUCACUCCCACUACCAUAAAUGAUGUCACUGUGUAGCUUCUACUGCAUGCCAGUCGCUGAAGCCAGCACAUAGCACUUUUAAUGGAUUUAGUGCUAGGAAACCAUAGUUUAACUGCCCAAUAGUCCAAGGGGUAAAAACCUCUCUACCCACUUUUCCUCUUAUAUUUGCAGACUCUGUUGAGAAAGACAUACAUGGGUGAUGGCCAUGGAGUUUGGGGUAGACUAAUGGCUGUGAUAAGGUAUCAUGGUUUUUCAGAGGACACCUCAGACAGUCACCCCAGAAUUAGCUUCUUUCUAGAGUUGGAUUCAAGCCUCCAAGUCAGUGUUCCUCAAAGUGGGGAUCCCCAGAUCAGCAGCAUCAGCAUCACCUGGGAACUCAAUGGGAUGCACAUACUCAGGCCUCAGCCCAGACCAAAUAAGAUCAGAAACUUGGGGGGUGGAGGUCCAGCAAACUGUAUUAUAUAAUCACUCCCAGUGAUCUUGGCACAGGUCAAGUUAGAGACCCACACUGAGCCAAUUCAUCUCACCUUUUUCUCCCCAUUAGUCCUAUCUGUCAUUCUCAGACAGUGGUUCCUGGGACUUGAGGGAUAAGAGUGGGAACCAGGACUUAGGGAGGGGAGAAAUGCAGCCCCCUUCCCACUGGAAAUGCUGGUACAGGUGCAUCAUUGCAAAUAAGGCUGCCUGCAUGUGGCCUGAGACACAGUAAGGUUACAGUUUUGGCAGCUGUGAAGAAAUGAAAAUGAGGUGUUUUGGAUAUUUUUUUUUCUUUUUUGAAAGCAAUUAAAAGAUAUACCUUUUAUUAGAGGAAAUACUGAAUUUAGGUCAGAAGUUUCUCUAGAAUGUUUGGGUUCAUCAUGUGAUAAUCAAGCCUAUCCUCCCUUUAAAGGGAAUUCUCUGCUGAGAGAGGCUACAGAAAAGCCUUUGAAAAGGUUAGUGCUCCACUCUUUCAGCGAAUCAGAGUGCUGGAUGGCACAUCUUGUUGGGUCGGGGGUGGGGAGGAGAUCGGUGAAAUGAUCAGGUAUUUGAUUUUAUGCCUUUAGUGCAAAAGCCAUCAGUUUCCCUCUGUUUUUCAAUGUAAGUUGGCUUGAGGCUUAGGAUGUAAACCUUAAGAAUAUAAUUCCUGCAUUCUAGUUCAUGGUAAACUUCUAUCCACUUUCAAAAUAAAGAUUGAGAUUUUAUCAUUUGAGGAUGUUAAUGUUUUCCUUAGGAAUGGCAAAUCUGAGAAUCUUUUAGCAACACCAUUCCUGUAAAAUACAGUGAAUUAUUUAUAAUGAUCUAAGGUUUUCAGAUACAAAUUUGGGGACCGGGUGACUAACAACUGAAAGAUACCACUAAAUCUUAAAGGAAAAGUUCUUGAAAAGCAUAUAAAAGUCACAGGGCUCAGACCUCCUUCUUUAGAGUUUUCUGUAAGGAAGGACUGUGAAGCUGGGCCUAUAUGCAUACAGGCUUGAAUUCGUGUUUUUUAAAGGAAGAAUCUAUGCAGUUGAGGCUUAUCGUAGGAAAUACUUCAUUUGUAUGUAAAUACAUUGUAAAUAAAUAGGAGGCUGUAUAUUUUUGAAGUUGUUGAUCCACAUUGAAAUAGAAGUUGCUAGUAUCUGCAUAUCAAGAAUAAAUGUCUUCAUUGAUACUAGUGGUUUUGUUUGGGAAUUAGAAAAAUUUACAUUCUCUCCCAGGUAACAUAGUUCUCUUAAUGUAAACUUGGAACCUACAAAUCUUGUUUAGAGAGAGAAAUGUCUGAGAAAUAGUUAACGUUGAUUUCUUAUACUGGUAUUAAGAUUAAUUAUUUCAAAGCUAGUCCUCUGAGCUACAAAAAAUAAGGAACAUUUUAGACCCAAAUUAUUGCCAUACAGAAAUAGAAUACCCAAAAUAACAAGUUGUUUCUUUGCAAUACUGUUUCACUGUUAACACUGAUACUACUACACAGUAUUUAUGAAAACAAAUGUUGGGGAGGAGGAAUUUUUUUUUUUUUCCAAAAUUGAAUUUCUGUUUCCCAAACUUUGGUCCCUUUGAAAGGGAAAGAGCUGAAUAUUAGACCUGAAUAUUAACUGUGAGCACAAAUUUGAAAGAAAGAAGAAAAGAACUAUUAUUUAUCAAGCUUUUGAAAGUCUUGCAUGUUUGCCUUUUCAGUGUCCACGCCAACAUAGGAUGUCUUAAGUAAUUUUUUUUUUUCCCCAAAGACUUGAAUCUUGAUCGCUGUUAUGUAAUCUACUCUCUAGAGGUCAGUGUAUUCUAGACUUCAUCUACCUGUAGCAUACCACAAAACUUUGUAAUUCAUGGUUGAUUAAACACAUAGUUUUGUUUUUUCCCCCCAGGAUGUGGGGUAAAUAAAGACAUGUAAGAAGUCCUAUUGUAUAACUUCUCUGUUAACAUAGUUUUUAAACAUUAAAAUGUGGAAUAAAGCA